CGCGGUUCCUGCGCGCGCGCUUCUUCCUGAGCCCGCUAGUUGCAGCGCCCUGUUCUCCCUGGCCCAGCGCUGCGCCCGGCUCCCAGCCGCGUCCCCGCCCCCACUUUCGGCUCCCACUCUCUCCUGCGCUCCGCUCACUCCUGCGCCCCUUCUGCCUCUGCAUUUGGCUCCCUCCUGCGCACCCGCUCCCCGGGCUUGCCCUCUAUCUCCAGUGCGCAGGUUCCCUGCAGAGCGGGGCGCGUGCUCCCUUUAGCGGGGAGGGGACCUCGGUUUUCUCGAAGGGCCAGAUUGCCUUGGACAGUCUGUCCGCUGGGGUUGGAGGAGUUUGGCUGCCAGAUAGAUUCUCGGAUGGGGCAGCCUAGCAGAGUGUGUGUAAAACCCUUCCACCGUCAAGAGGGGAUCCAGGCAGCCUGCGUCCUGCCCGCUCCGGGGAGCGGAGGCGGGUGUUAGUGGUUAGAGGAAACUUUCCAGCAGAGCGCCUUGCUAGAGCAAACGGCGCAUCUGUCAGGAACGCUCUCUGGGCACUGUUCUUGCAAGGAGCUUCUGUUGUUCCAGUGCAGUAGAUGCAGAAAGGAAGCGAAGGUUUGUGCAUCUGACAGCUGACACUGAGGAUCGGUUGGAAAAAUACACACUCCCCAGUCCCAGCUAAUGAAUGUAUCGUGGCAUAAAGCAGAAAAAUCUUCGUUCUACACAAAGCCAAGAGUGGCAAAGGAGACAGCUUCCAAUCAGUGGAAAUUGAACAAUUGAAUAAAUGUGUUCUUUUUAAGUGGGAGAAGAUGUGGUAGAGAAUUUAAUUUGGCAGUCUCUGCUUUGAGCAAUGCUGA
ensembl:lncRNA